rnacentral:rRNA from 1 species
GACGAACGCUGGCGGCGUGCCUAAUACAUGCAAGUCGAGCGAGCGGAACUAACAGAUUUACUUCGGUAAUGACGUUAGGAAAGCGAGCGGCGGAUGGGUGAGUAACACGUGGGGAACCUGCCCCAUAGUCUGGGAUACCACUUGGAAACAGGUGCUAAUACCGGAUAAGAAAGCAGAUCGCAUGAUCAGCUUUUAAAAGGCGGCGUAAGCUGUCGCUAUGAGAUGGCCCCGCGGUGCAUUAGCUAGUUGGUAAGGUAAAGGCUUACCAAGGCGACGAUCUCUAGCUGGUUUGAGAGGAUGAUCAGCCACACUGGGACUGAGACACGGCCCAG